GGGUAAGAGAGCUACGAAGAAAGGGAGAAGCAGAGACAUCAGCGGGCGCUGCAGCUACCGGCCCGGCGGCCGCUGCCGCGGCUCCCGGUGGCGCGGCGCGGGCCGGCGGCCGCUGCCGGUGGGACGGCGCGGAGAAAAAGGGAAGGAAAGGAGGGAGGUAUAGAGAUCACUGUCUCUUUCUCUCGUCGCCCCAGCUCGGGAGAGACUAGGGGUAGUGGCGACUGGAGAGAUCGACGGCCGCCGACCGACCACCGAUCGCUCCGAGGGGCCGCGCCAUUGUUCUCAAUCCAAAGCCUACCGACUCUACAUCUUUACCUGAGAAAUAAAGUCCGAGAAGGUCGGACAUACGACGCGUACCCCGGACAUUACACGAGGUGUUCCCUUAAACUGGGCGAUACACAGUACGGGACCAGUUUACACUACACUUGAGCCAUCCUUAAUUGUACAGGACCAGUUGACAUUGACCUCAAUUAGAAGACUGAACACUUGACGGGCAGACAAUAGACUAAAGAUAUCCUUUAUAAGCUUGACCGUACUCCUCUUUGAUUGAAGGAAGCCAAUUA
rnacentral:rRNA from 1 species